rnacentral:rRNA from 1 species
UACGUAGGGAGCGAGCGUUGUCCGGAUUUAUUGGGCGUAAAGAGCUCGUAGGCGGCUUGGUAAGUCCGCUGUGAAAGUCCAGGGCUCAACCCUGGAAAGCCGGUGGAAACUGUCAAGCUUGAGUCCGGAAGAGGCGAGUGGAAUUCCUGGUGUAGCGGUGAAAUGCGCAGAUAUCAGGAGGAACACCAAUGGCGAAGGCAGCUCGCUGGGACGGUACUGACGCUGAGACGCGAAAGCGUGGGGAGCGAACAGG